GCCACGCUGGUCUCGAACUCCUGAGCUCAGAUGAUCUGCCCACCUUGGCCUCCCAAAGUGCUGGGAUUACAGGUGUGAGCCACCGUGCCCGGCACCCCCUCGCUAUGGUGGAUGAGGAACCUGCUCCAAGUCGCGCAGCUGGAAAGGUGCAUCGGAGCCUCUGGGACCUCCCUGACUGCAGGCCCGGCCGACUUACGGGUGGGGAGGGUCGGAUCGACAUCCCCCAAACCAGCCACCCCAGGGAGCCCCUGGAGGGGCUCCUUGCAGGAGAGAAAACUGAGGCCAGGAGUUGCCCACGGGAAGUGCUGAGAUCAUACGGCCAUGAAGUCACUGGGCAGGGACUUCAGUUCACACCUGUCUCCCUCUGGAGCCUCCAACUGUGACCGCCUCAUCCAGAAAGCCCUUGGAGUGACAGGGCCCUGUUGGGGGAGGUGGACCGAGGUCCCUUCCUGCAGGAGACUCCUUCCAUAGCCUGUCCGAGGAUGUGACCCCAAAUCGUCCCCUCUUGACCUGCAGUUGGGCCCCUGCUAUGCUGCCUGGCGUCCAUUGUGGCUGAAUGAGUGCCGUGGGCUUACGGGGACCCUAAGAGAGAGGAAGAAAUUAGGACGCAGACACCCAGAGGGGAGACAUGAGGACCCAGGGAAAAGCCGGCCAUCCGCAUGCGAGGCAGAGAGGCCUUGGGAGAAACCACCCCUGCUGGCGCCUCCACCUCGGACUUCUAGCCUCCAGAAUUGUCCUCAGUGAAACACUGGUCCCCGGCCCUGGCUGGGGACAGUAAGAAAGGACAUCACCGCAGGAGGGACACUGAAGAGGCUGUCGAGGACUGCAGAGGCAUCUGGUGUGGCCAGAGGCGUGGUGUCAGGGGCGUCUGAUCCCUUGCCUGUUCCCACCCAGGGAGCCGGAUGGCACGGACACAGGUCUCCCUCCGCUCACCCCUCCCCUGAAAUGUGAGAAACAGCAGCUUUCCGCCUGCUUGAACAAGGAGGCAGGCACUGUAAGGAGAAGAGGAAAGGGGAAUGCGGCCCCUUCCAAGGCAGCGAAGCAGAGACGAUUCCAAUCCUGGGAAAAUCCACAUGCAGGUGGAACUGCCAGCUGAAACCUACACUUGCUACUUAAGAAACGGAAAGACCACGUCUGGCUGGGAGUGCAGCGUGCCUGAGGACCAGCCAUCGCCCCUCCUCUGGCACCCCCACACUGUCCACGCAGCUCCUGGGCUCUGAGGUGAGAAGCUGGGGUGUGCUGAAGGGGAAAGUGACACGGCCUUGGACACACCACUAGGUCUCUGUUCCUAACUUUUAGUAAGACACUACCCUCGAAGCAAAUGCUCUCAUUUAAACAAAUGGCAUAGUUAAAACUAUUGACUAAGACCUAAACAUUUCUUCUGAGAAAUCGAACCAUAGCUUUUCCAAUCUGCCUGUUCAAUAUGGGAACAGACUUUAAAGAGAAUAACAUAAUCCUCCGCCCCAAAGAAUGGUCCAUCAUACCAACCAUGAUAAAGAGUACACCUGUUUAUUAAAAGGAAAAACAGAAAUGUA